UCAGGUGUUAUAAAUAAGAAUUAUUAACAAAUAUAUAUUCAACAGUCAUCUGAUACUAAUAAUUCCUGCAAGAAUAUUUGUGCCCGUAAAAAUUGCUCGUAAAACACGAAUAUUUGGCGAGAAGUCUACGUUUAUUGGUGCAUUGCGAGACUUAAAAUUCAUUGCGAGACUCAAAUCUGUUAAUAUUUCUACAAACUUUUCUAAUUUUUCUGCAGUCGCCGUUACUGAAUUAACUUUUUUCAAAUUUGAAUAAAUUUAAAAAUUUACGGAAUCAACAUGCAGGAGGAACAAGUCUUCUCCAUCGUGGUCAUUACUUCGAUGUUGUGUUUUGGCCUCACCGCGGCAUCGUAUCCGGAAAGCGCCAACGUCGUGGCUUCAGCAAAGCCUGGCCCGCCGCUGGGCUGUGGACGAACGCGGACCUUGGUGUCCGUGCGCUUCCAGACCCUGGUGGUGCCUGGCCCAAAA
rnacentral:lncRNA from 1 species